GACGAACGCUGGCGGCGUGCUUAACACAUGCAAGUCGAACGGAAAGGCCCUGCUUUUGUGGGGUGCUCGAGUGGCGAACGGGUGAGUAACACGUGAGUAACCUGCCCUUGACUUUGGGAUAACUUCAGGAAACUGGGGCUAAUACCGGAUAGGAGCUCCUGCUGCAUGGUGGGGGUUGGAAAGUUUCGGCGGUUGGGGAUGGACUCGCGGCUUAUCAGCUUGUUGGUGGGGUAGUGGCUUACCAAGGCUUUGACGGGUAGCCGGCCUGAGAGGGUGACCGGCCACAUGGGGACUGAGAUACGGCCCAGACUCCUACGGGAGGCAGCAGUGGGGAAUAUGGCACAAUGGGCGGAAGCCUGAUGCAGCGACGCCGCGUGCGGGAUGACGGCCUUCGGGUUGUAAACCGCUUUCGCCUGUGACGAAGCGUGAGUGACGGUAAUGGGUAAAGAAGCACCGGCUAACUACGUG
rnacentral:rRNA from 1 species